GCCUCGGUAGCUCAAUUGGAUAGAGCAACAGCCUUCUAAGCUGUGAGUUCUGGGUUCGAGUCCCAGCCCGGGUA
rnacentral:tRNA from 1 species